GGGGAAUAUUGCGCAAUGGGGGGAACCCUGACGCAGCCAUGCCGCGUGAAUGAAGAAGGCCUUCGGGUUGUAAAGUUCUUUCGGUAUUGAGGAAGGGAUGUGUGCUAAUAGUACAUAUCAUUGACGUUAAAUACAGAAGAAGCACCGGCUAACUCCGUGCCAGCAGCCGCGGUAAUACGGAGGGUGCGAGCGCUAAUCGGAAUAACUGGGCGUAAAGGGCACGCAGGCGGUUAUUUAAGUGAGGUGUGAAAGCCCCGGGCUUAACCUGGGAAUUGCAUUUCAGACUGGGUAACUAGAGUACUUUAGGGAGGGGUAGAAUUCCACGUGUAGCGGUGAAAUGCGUAGAGAUGUGGAGGAAUACCGAAGGCGAAGGCAGCCCCUUGGGAAUGUACUGACGCUCAUGUGCGAAAGCGUGGGGAGCAAACAGGAUUAGAUACCCUGGUAGUCCACGCUGUAAACGCUGUCGAUUUGGGGAUUGAGCUUAAAGCUUGGUGCCCGUAGCUAACGUGAUAAAUCGACCGCCUGGGGAGUACGGCCGCAAGGUUA
rnacentral:rRNA from 1 species